AUAAGAGCGACGUAUAGCUUGGUAAACAGAGUUUCUGCAUGGAUGGCAUUGAAGGGGAUAACUAAAAAGGACUAGUACAACAAUAGCGAGCUUUCCACCAAUAAUCCAAAUACUGGUAUUAUCGUACAUUGCGAUAAUAUUACCUGAUGCCAGAGAUCCAAAUGAAAGAUAUCCCGUAAUAGCCACAAGCAAGUACAAAAGCGUAGAAGAAAUAAUAGCAGUAAACAUAGUAAAAUUGACGAACCCUUGAGAGAAAUUUCUGACCUCAUUUAUUACACUGAAAGCAUUUUGAUGGCAAGUGAAACCGAAAACGAAAACGGGCAAAACAGAUAAAUAGCCAAAGCCAGACUCAGGAACAAAGUAGCGGAUUUCUCCUUUUACAGUAUCCCCGAUGAUAAAAUGAUACAAAACAAUAAACACAAGGUAACAAAGAGCUAUAAGGCUGAUCACAGACGUAUGCCGUAAAGAAUCCAACCUCUUAAGAAACGAGAGUGGAGUAAGCACGAAAAGCGCAAAGACAAUCCAUGUUUGGCGCCUAAGGAACAUUGGAGAAGAGAGACCAAGUGAUGGAGCAAUUUGGGGCAUUAAAUCGCCUACAAUAACCAAAUAGCUUACCGCUACACCGAAGCAUUUAACAGCAAUAGAAGCGUCAAAGACAACAGCCAAAGAGGGAAAGGUGUGCUUGGCAACAGCAGCAAAUGAAGCCUUUCCCCUCGGGAGUCGUGCGGCGCAUUGGGAAACAAAAUAUAAUCCUAAAAAAGAAGCGAAUGCACUAAAGACGAUGGUCAAACACCCAAACAACAGACCAGUCUUGGUAAACGCAUUUGGUAAGGAAAGAAUUCCAGCUCCCAAAAUAGUAUUGGCAAGGUUGAUAACCGAAGAAAAGAACCCAGCUUUUCCAAUAUGGACGUCUGCUGGUCCAGAAGACAAAGGACUAUACCCAGACAUAAAUUAACCCAAACUAGGAAUAGAGAAAAAAUCUAGGAAGCUAUAAAAUUGGUGUUUUUAGGAACCAACUUUACGAAUUACAAUUAAGUACUAAGCGUAUGAGUAUGCAAACUGAUCGAUUUUUUGGAAGAAUCGUUCAAGAAAGUUAUUUUAAAAGAAAAUAAGAACUAUGCAAUAUAAAAAAAAUGGUUCUAAACAAAUAAUAGAACGUGGAAUAAAAAACGCCUGAGAAAUCGUAGAAUAGAAAUCAGCAGACAAAAAGAGACCAGCUCGAUAAAUUAAAUUGUAGAAUCUAUUCAGAAGCCCGAUAAAUAAUAGGAAAAAUUAUAGUACACGAUGUAUUAAAGCACCUUCCCAGCUGUACGAGUGGAAUGCUCGUUCUUGGUUGUUAAAAGAGAUG